rnacentral:rRNA from 1 species
CCGCACAAGCGGUGGAGCAUGUGGUUAAUUCGACGCAACGCGAAGAACCUUACCUGGGUUUGACAUCUUGGGAAUCUUUUAGAAAUAAGAGAGUGCCCCGCAAGGGAGCCCGAAGACAGGUGCUGCAUGGCUGUCGUCAGCUCGUGUCGUGAGAUGUUGGGUUAAGUCCCGCAACGAGCGCAACCCUUAUCUUCAGUUACCAUCAUUCAGUUGGGGACUCUGGAGAUACUGCCCGGUUAACGGGGAGGAAGGUGGGAUGACGUCAAGUCCUCAUGGCCUUUAUAUCCAGGGCUACACACGUGCUACAAUGGUCCGUACAAAGGGUUGCAAGCCUGCGAGGGUGAGCUAAUCCCGAAAAGCGGAUCUCAGUUCGGAUUGGAGUCUGCAACUCGACUCCAUGAAGUUGGAUUCGCUAGUAAUCGCGCAUCAGCCAUGGCGCGGUGAAUGCGUUCCCGGGCCUU